rnacentral:rRNA from 1 species
GACGAACGCUGGCGGCGUGCUUAACACAUGCAAGUCGAACGGUGAAGCGCCUUCCUUUUUGGUGGGUGUGGAUGAGUGGCGAACGGGUGAGUAACACGUGAGUAACCUGCCCCCUUCUUCUGGAUAACCGCAUGAAAGUGUGGCUAAUACGGGAUAUUCUGGGUCUGUCGCAUGAUGGGUCUGGGAAAGAUAUUGUUUCGGUGGGGGAUGGGCUCGCGGCCUAUCAGCUUGUUGGUGGGGUGAUGGCCUACCAAGGCGGCGACGGGUAGCCGGCCUGAGAGGGUGGACGGUCACACUGGGACUGAGACACGGCCCAGACUCCUACGGGAGGCAGCAGUGGGGAAUAGUGCACAAUGGGCGCAAGCCUGAUGCAGCGACGCCGCGUGAGGGAUGGAGGCCUGCGGGUUGUGAACCUCUUUCGCCAGUGAAGCAGGCCUGCCUCGUUUGUGGGUGGGUUGACGGUAGCUGGAUAAGAAGCGCCGGCUAACUACGUG